rnacentral:rRNA from 1 species
GACGAACGCUGGCGGCGUGCCUAAUACAUGCAAGUCGAACGAGAGCGCCCGGUGCUUGCACUGGUCAAUCUAGUGGCGAACGGGUGAGUAACACGUGGGUAACCUGCCCAUCAGAGGGGGAUAACAUCCGGAAACGGAUGCUAAAACCGCCUCGGUCUUCGAACCGCAUGGUUCGAAGAGGCAUAGAGGCGCAAGCUUCUGCUGAUGGAUGGACCCGCGGUGCAUUAGCUAGUUGGUGAGGUAACGGCUCACCAAGGCCGUGAUGCGUAGCCGGCCUGAGAGGGUGAUCGGCCACACUGGAACUGAGACACGGCCCAAACUCCUACGGGAGGCAGCAGUAGGGAAUCUUCCGCAAUGGACGCAAGUCUGACGGAGCAACGCCGCGUGAGUGAAGAAGGUUUUCGGAUCGUAAAACUCUGUUGUUAGGGAAGAACAAGUGCUAGAGUAACUGUUAGCGCCUUGACGGUACCUAACCAGAAAGCCACGGCUAACUACGUG